AUGGAUCCAAACAAAAUGCUGACUCCUUUGACUUCUCCGUCUAACUCUUUCUCUUCACUUGAACCUAGAACUAUCUUCAUCUCUUCUUCUAUGCAUCCUACGUCUUCACACACAUCUAUAACUUCCCUUAUGUCUCCCCAAGACCUUUCCCCUGCCUCUUCUUCUAUAACUAUCCCCAUAUAUAAGCCUGUUACUAAACUCCCUCCAACUGCCUCUAAAUCUGCACCUGUAUUCCCAACUACAGAAACACCUGUACCAACUGCUAAAUAUUCAUAUCACUGCAACUUGAUCUCUAAAAAUUCAUAUCACUCCAACUUGACACCUAUCUCAGAAUAUCCCCCUGUCUGUGCAGCCACUGUACCUAUACCUACAGGUAUAUCGACAUUUACUUGUGUACCUACCCGUAGGUAUCCCUCUAACUGUAACUCUACCUAUACCAUGUCAUCUGCACCUACCCCAAAACCUACUCCUCUUUGUACAUCCCCUACAUUGACAACUCCACUUACACCUGAAACUCCAGUUAGCCCCAAAUCGACUCCACCUAUAUCUCCAAUUCCAUCUAAUUCUGCACUUCUUAAUAAGGAUCACUCUAAUUUGAUCUGUAGCUCUACCUCAGCAUCUACACUCUCUCCCAAAUUGGAUCCUAUCUCUAUACCCUUGACAACUACACAUAAAUCCACCUGUCCACUUUUCCCUGGGAUUCCCUUUAAUUGUACCUGUGCUGCUACCUCGACAUCUUCACUCUUGCCCAAAUCUAAUCCACCUACAUCUAGGUCUACAUCUACCAGUGUAUUAUCUCCUGGGAAUUCCUCUAACUGUAUCAGUAGCUCUACCUCGACCUCUACACUUAGUCCCAAAUUGAAUCCAACUAUAUCCAGAGCUACCUCUUGUGUCUUAUUCCCUGGCUAUUCCUCUAAUUGUAUCUGUAACUCCACCUCAACCUCUACCCUUAGCCCCAAAUCUCCUCCUACACCCAAAUCUACAUCUAUCUCUGCCUUACUCCCUAAUUAUCCCUCUAACUGUAUCUGUAACUCCACCUCAACCUCCACACUUAGCCCCGAAUCUCCUCCUAUAUCCAAAGGUACAUUUACCUGUGCCUUACUCAAGGAUUAUCCCUCUAACUGUAUCUGUAACUCCACCUCGACAUCAUCCCUUAGUCCCAAGUCUCCUCCUACAUCCAAAGCUACAUCUACCUGUGCCUUACUUUCUGGUUAUCCCUCUAAUUGUGUCUGUAACUCUACUUCAACCUCAACUCUUAGCCCCAAAUCUCCUCCUACAUCCAAAUCUACAUCUACCUGUGCCUUACUCAAGGAUUAUCCCUCUAACUGUAACUGUAACUCUACCUCGACCUCUACUCUUAGCUCCAAAUCUCCUCCUAUAUCCAAAGCUAUGUCUAUCUGUGCUUUACUCCCUGAUUAUCCUCCUAAUUGUGUCUGUAACUCUACCUCAACAUCAUCCUUUAGUCCUAAAUCCCCCUCUAAUAUCCACAGGUACAUCUACCUGUGCAUUAUCCCUUGGGAAUUCCUCUAA
rnacentral:lncRNA from 1 species